rnacentral:lncRNA from 1 species
CAGCGAACAUAAAAUAUGAGUACCUCCAUAACAGUGAACAUACAACGUCAAACAUGAAACGUAGAACAGCAAACAUGAAACGUGGAACGUAAACAUGAAACGGGGGCAAAAAAGAAAAAUUUCGGGGUAUUUGAAAAAUCAGUACAUGAAACAUUGCACAACCAACAUGAAACAUAUCACUUAAAAUAUGCAACAACAAACAUAAAAUAUGAGUCCCUCCGUAACAUGGAACAUGAAACAUAAAACAUGAAACGUAGAACAACAAACAUGAAACAGAGAACGUAAACAUGAAACAGGGGCAAAAAAGAAAAAUUUCGGGGUAUUUAAAAAAUCAGUACAUGAAACAUUGCACAACCAACAUGAAACAUAUCACUUAAAAUAUACAACAACGAACAUAAAAUAUGAGUCCCUCCGUAACAGUGAACAUGAAACAUAAAACAUGAAACAUAGAACAUCAAACAUGAAACAUAGAACGUAAACAUGAAACGGGUGCAAAAAAAAAAAAUUUCGGGGUAUUUGAAAAAUCAGUACAUGAAAUAUUGCACAACCAACAUGAAACAUAUCACUUAAAAUAUGCAACAACGAAC